GAGGGUAUAGCUCAAGCAGUAGAGGGCAUGCUUAGCAUCCAUAGAUGUCCUGGGUUCAAUCCCCAGUACCUCCU
rnacentral:tRNA from 1 species